rnacentral:snRNA from 1 species
UUACUUACCUAGCAGGACAGAUACCAGGACCACAAAGGUGGUUUUCCCAAAGCAAGACUCAUCCAUUGCACUUGGGGUUUGCUGACCUCUAGGAUUUCCCCUAAUUCGGGAAAAUCUACUGUGUGAUUUAAGGGAGUGGUGUAGUGGUUGGGGGUGGGGGGACGUGCUGUGGAUAUCACUC